AAAGGGGAAGUUUAUCACGUAGGAUAUAUGGGUGCAAAUUUUUUCGAACUGCUUCCCAUAUCAGACAGCGCAUUAGCAAUCUACGCUGAAAACUUUGAUGGUGUGAAGACUACAAAAGUGACUCAACUUCUCGCCAAAGGAGAUGGUGUCACUCAAGAAGAAAUUCAGCAGUAUGAGGAACUGAACAAAGAAAGGGGGAUUCCAACUGAAACUAUAGAAGAUCUCAC